GGGCAUAGAAGAGUGGGUUUUGGAAGGAGGAGAUGUGCAAUAGUGAGAGCGUCAUCAUCGUCACCGGCUUCAGAUUCUUCUGGCUCAUUAGCUCCAAUAGCACCGCUUCAGUUGGAGUCUCCCAUUGGGCAGUUCUUGUCUCAAAUCUUGAUGAGUCAUCCACAUCUUGUGCCAGCAGCAGUUGAACAACAGCUUGAACAACUUCAAACUGACCGUGAUGCGGAUAAAGAGAAGGAAGAGCCUUCUGUUACUGGCACUGACUUAGUAUUGUAUAGGAGAAUCGCUGAGGUGAAGGCUAAUGAAAGGAGAAAAGCUCUCGAAGAGAUAUUGUAUGCCUUGAUUGUACAGAAAUUUAUGGAUGCUAAUGUUUCACUGAUACCCACAAUGGCCCCUUCUUCCGCUGACCCAUCUGGUCAAGUGGAUAGGUGGCCGAGUCAAGAUGAGAAGCUUGAGCAACUUCACUCUCCUGAAGCAUAUGAGAUGAUUCAGAACCACCUAGCUCUCAUUUUGGGAAACAAGAUAGCAGAUUCAACUACGGUAGCACAGAUAAGCAAAUUAAGGGUUGGACAGGUCUAUGCAGCAUCUGUGAUGUAUGGAUAUUUCCUCAAGCGCGUUGAUCAGAGGUUUCAGCUUGAGAAGACAAUGAAAAUCCUUCCUAAUUUAGUGGAUGAGGGAGAUAGUAAUGUUCAAGAAGCUGCGAGGCCGGAUAUGAAAUCUAGUGGAGGGGAAGAUGCCUUUCAAACUGUGUCAUCCCACCCAGAAGCCUGGUCUGGUGGUAUCAUCAGUCCAGGGGGAUUUGGUGAUGGCAUAAAGUCCACCAGACUUCGGAGUUAUGUGAUGUCCUUAGAUGGAGAGACACUUCAAAGAUAUGCUACAAUAAGAUCCAAGGAGGCAGUUAGUAUCAUUGAGAAGCACACAGAGGCCUUGUUUGGAAGACCAGAAAUUGUCAUUACUCCUCAAGGGACCGUUGAUGCUUCCAAGGAUGAACUUAUCAAGCUCAGCUUUGGUGGUUUGAGGAGACUUGUUUUGGAGGCUGUGACUUUUGGUUCUUUCCUUUGGGAUGUUGAGAGUUAUGUGGAUUCGAGGAACCAUUUUGUUAUGAACUGAGUAAUGGUUGCAUGGAAUCCUGAUAAAGCAAAUUGGUGGCUAAUGUACUACUAACCGAAUUUAAAUGUCUUAAUUGAGUAAAUUUGGUGGUAACAUUCUAGUUAUUGUACUGAUAUUUCUGUACAUAGUUUUGAUACUGAAAUAUCUUGUUUUCAUUUGCACUCUGAGAUGGAGCUAUAUGAAAAUUCAUUUUACUAC
rnacentral:misc_RNA from 1 species